rnacentral:rRNA from 1 species
UUAAGCGACUAAGCGUACACGGUGGAUGCCCUGGCAGUCAGAGGCGAUGAAGGACGUGCUAAUCUGCGAUAAGCGUCGGUAAGGUGAUAUGAACCGUUAUAACCGGCGAUUUCCGAAUGGGGAAACCCAGUGUGUUUCGACACACUAUCAUUAACUGAAUCCAUAGGUUAAUGAGGCGAACCGGGGGAACUGAAACAUCUAAGUACCCCGAGGAAAAGAAAUCAACCGAGAUUCCCCCAGUAGCGGCGAGCGAACGGGGAGGAGCCCAGAGCCUGAAUCAGUGUGUGUGUUAGUGGAAGCGUCUGGAAAGGCGCGCGAUACAGGGUGACAGCCCCGUACACAAAAAUGCACAUAUUGUGAGCUCGAUGAGUAGGGCGGGACACGUGGUAUCCUGUCUGAAUAUGGGGGGACCAUCCUCCAAGGCUAAAUACUCCUGACUGACCGAUAGUGAACCAGUACCGUGAGGGAAAGGCGAAAAGAACCCCGGCGAGGGGAGUGAAAAAGAACCUGAAACCGUGUACGUACAAGCAGUGGGAGCACGCUUAGGCGUGUGACUGCGUACCUUUUGUAUAAUGGGUCAGCGACUUAUAUUCUGUAGCAAGGUUAACCGAAUAGGGGAGCCGAAGGGAAACCGAGUCUUAACUGGGCGUUAAGUUGCAGGGUAUAGACCCGAAACCCGGUGAUCUAGCCAUGGGCAGGUUGAAGGUUGGGUAACACUAACUGGAGGACCGAACCGACUAAUGUUGAAAAAUUAGCGGAUGACUUGUGGCUGGGGGUGAAAGGCCAAUCAAACCGGGAGAUAGCUGGUUCUCCCCGAAAGCUAUUUAGGUAGCGCCUCGUGAAUUCAUCUCCGGGGGUAGAGCACUGUUUCGGCAAGGGGGUCAUCCCGACUUACCAACCCGAUGCAAACUGCGAAUACCGGAGAAUGUUAUCACGGGAGACACACGGCGGGUGCUAACGUCCGUCGUGAAGAGGGAAACAACCCAGACCGCCAGCUAAGGUCCCAAAGUCAUGGUUAAGUGGGAAACGAUGUGGGAAGGCCCAGACAGCCAGGAUGUUGGCUUAGAAGCAGCCAUCAUUUAAAGAAAGCGUAAUAGCUCACUGGUCGAGUCGGCCUGCGCGGAAGAUGUAACGGGGCUAAACCAUGCACCGAAGCUGCGGCAGCGACGCUUAUGCGUUGUUGGGUAGGGGAGCGUUCUGUAAGCCUGUGAAGGUGUGCUGUGAGGCAUGCUGGAGGUAUCAGAAGUGCGAAUGCUGACAUAAGUAACGAUAAAGCGGGUGAAAAGCCCGCUCGCCGGAAGACCAAGGGUUCCUGUCCAACGUUAAUCGGGGCAGGGUGAGUCGACCCCUAAGGCGAGGCCGAAAGGCGUAGUCGAUGGGAAACAGGUUAAUAUUCCUGUACUUGGUGUUACUGCGAAGGGGGGACGGAGAAGGCUAUGUUGGCCGGGCGACGGUUGUCCCGGUUUAAGCGUGUAGGCUGGUUUUCCAGGCAAAUCCGGAAAAUCAAGGCUGAGGCGUGAUGACGAGGCACUACGGUGCUGAAGCAACAAAUGCCCUGCUUCCAGGAAAAGCCUCUAAGCAUCAGGUAACAUCAAAUCGUACCCCAAACCGACACAGGUGGUCAGGUAGAGAAUACCAAGGCGCUUGAGAGAACUCGGGUGAAGGAACUAGGCAAAAUGGUGCCGUAACUUCGGGAGAAGGCACGCUGAUAUGUAGGUGAAGUCCCUUGCGGAUGGAGCUGAAAUCAGUCGAAGAUACCAGCUGGCUGCAACUGUUUAUUAAAAACACAGCACUGUGCAAACACGAAAGUGGACGUAUACGGUGUGACGCCUGCCCGGUGCCGGAAGGUUAAUUGAUGGGGUCAGCGCAAGCGAAGCUCUUGAUCGAAGCCCCGGUAAACGGCGGCCGUAACUAUAACGGUCCUAAGGUAGCGAAAUUCCUUGUCGGGUAAGUUCCGACCUGCACGAAUGGCGUAAUGAUGGCCAGGCUGUCUCCACCCGAGACUCAGUGAAAUUGAACUCGCUGUGAAGAUGCAGUGUACCCGCGGCAAGACGGAAAGACCCCGUGAACCUUUACUAUAGCUUGACACUGAACAUUGAGCCUUGAUGUGUAGGAUAGGUGGGAGGCUUUGAAGUGUGGACGCCAGUCUGCAUGGAGCCGACCUUGAAAUACCACCCUUUAAUGUUUGAUGUUCUAACGUUGACCCGUAAUCCGGGUUGCGGACAGUGUCUGGUGGGUAGUUUGACUGGGGCGGUCUCCUCCUAAAGAGUAACGGAGGAGCACGAAGGUUGGCUAAUCCUGGUCGGACAUCAGGAGGUUAGUGCAAUGGCAUAAGCCAGCUUGACUGCGAGCGUGACGGCGCGAGCAGGUGCGAAAGCAGGUCAUAGUGAUCCGGUGGUUCUGAAUGGAAGGGCCAUCGCUCAACGGAUAAAAGGUACUCCGGGGAUAACAGGCUGAUACCGCCCAAGAGUUCAUAUCGACGGCGGUGUUUGGCACCUCGAUGUCGGCUCAUCACAUCCUGGGGCUGAAGUAGGUCCCAAGGGUAUGGCUGUUCGCCAUUUAAAGUGGUACGCGAGCUGGGUUUAGAACGUCGUGAGACAGUUCGGUCCCUAUCUGCCGUGGGCGCUGGAGAACUGAGGGGGGCUGCUCCUAGUACGAGAGGACCGGAGUGGACGCAUCACUGGUGUUCGGGUUGUCAUGCCAAUGGCACUGCCCGGUAGCUAAAUGCGGAAGAGAUAAGUGCUGAAAGCAUCUAAGCACGAAACUUGCCCCGAGAUGAGUUCUCCCUGACUCCUUGAGAGUCCUGAAGGAACGUUGAAGACGACGACGUUGAUAGGCCGGGUGUGUAAGCGCAGCGAUGCGUUGAGCUAACCGGUACUAAUGAACCGUGAGGCUUAACCUU